rnacentral:rRNA from 1 species
UACGAAGGGGGCUAGCGUUGCUCGGAAUGACUGGGCGUAAAGGGCGCGUAGGCGGUUUGUACAGUCAGAUGUGAAAUUCCUGGGCUCAACCUGGGGGCUGCAUUUGAUACGUAUGGACUGGAGUGAGGAAGAGGGUCGUGGAAUUCCUAGUGUAGAGGUGAAAUUCGUAGAUAUUAGGAAGAACACCGGUGGCGAAGGCGGCCCACUGGUCCGGUACUGACGCUGAGGUGCGAAAGCGUGGGGAGCAAACAGG